rnacentral:lncRNA from 12 species
CAGCGUUGCACUGCAUACUAAAGAGGGAAAACACAGAUUUUGUGAAGGCAAGAAGGAAAGAGACACAGUCCUGUGACAUUUCUGUCAGAUUGCCACUGGGAGCCAGGCUUGCUGGUCAAAGGGAUUUGCAAUAUUGCCCCUUGUCACCUGGCCUCACUCUUAAUCUGGUGAGAUGGGAACCUGACUAGGACACCAAUCUGUCUGAGAAAAAAAAAAGAAAUCUGGAUGAGGCUGAGGAUUCACCAACAAGCAGAAAAUCUGACUGCAGCUACUGUGCAAGAACAAGAAAUACCAAGUUCCAAAGGAAAGCAAGCUGCACAUGCCUAAGGAUGAAACCAGCCCCUGCUUGAUUAAGAGCUGAGAAUAUUUGCUCUGACACUGCAGAGAAACACUUCUU